GAACACGUGAGAAACCUGCCUCGGAUUUUGGGAUAACAAAUGGAAACGUUUGCUAAUACCAAAUAACGUCGGAGAGUCACAUGACUUUCUGACGAAAGGAAUUCCGAUUCGAGAGGGUCUCGCGGCCUAUCAGCUUGUUGGCGGGGUAAUGGCCCACCAAGGCAACGACGGGUAGCUGGUCUGAGAGGAUGGUCAGCCACACUGGGACUGAGACACGGCCCAGACUCCUACGGGAGGCAGCAGUGGGGAAUCUUGCGCAAUGGGCGAAAGCCUGACGCAGCAACGCCGCGUGCGGGAAGAAGGCUUUCGGGCUGUAAACCGCUUUCAGCAGGAACGAAAAUGACGGUACCUGCAGAAGAAGGAGCGGCCAACUAUGUGCCAGCAGCCGCGGUGAUACAUAGGCUUCAAGCGUUGUCCGGAUUUAUUGGGCGUAAAGAGUUCGUAGGCGGUCGAGUAAGUCGGGUGUGAAAAUUCUGGGCUCAACCCAGAGACGCCACCCGAUACUGCUUAACUCGAGUUCGAUAGGGGAGUGGGGAAUUCCUAGUGUAGCGGUGAAAUGCGCAGAUAUUAGGAGGAACACCGGUGGCGAAGGCGCCACUCUGGAUCGACACUGACGCUGAGGAACGAAAGCAUGGGUAGCAAACAGGAUUAGAUACCCUGGUAGUCCAUGCGGUAAA
rnacentral:rRNA from 1 species